UCUCAAGGUCUCACACGCGUACUUUCUCUCUGUAACUUCCAAAAAAUCUGGGUGACCCUUUCUCUCUCUAACCAAUUUCUUUUCCUCCCGAUUCCUCCUACUUUCGUCUAACAGUUUCCCAAAUUCGAUCUCGAAUACGCAUUUUCUCUCUACAUUCCUUUAAAUUGUUAUGAGAUUGUUCGAUUUUUCACUCGAAUAUAUAAAUCGAAUUCAAAAUCGAAACCUAGUUUGUAUAAUUUGGUGAAUUUGCUGCCAAUUUUUUCAAAUUCAAAGGCAAACAUGCGAAUUUAGUUCGAUUUAUAAGCAUUUUAAUUCUUAAUUUUUGUUUGCGAACUAAUUUUGAGCGGAUUAAAAUCUCAUACGAUUCGGAAUUUGCUUCAAAAUUGCCGCUAUUUUUGAGUGAUUUUGGAAAAGCUCGAUUGUGUAUUAAAUUGAAGAGAUGAUAGAAAUUGCUGAAAUUUGGAGAUCGUCAUGGUUUUGCUGCAUAAUCGAAUGCUGAUUUCCAGUCGCAAAAUCAAGCCGAAAAUAAGAUUAAAAUCCUGAGAAUGAUGAUUUGGGUAUAGAUGAUGACUAGUUUAAAGAUGGCCAGGAUUCCUCGGAGCAUAUCCUUUGCCAGAUCGUAUAGUUAAAUGUCAAGUUCAGAGCCUUAGAAGCCAUCUUAAUAAGGUGAUGUUAACAAAUGGUGUGAAGCUCUCGUCCUCAGGAAAUCUGAAUCUUCUCUUGCCUUAUGAUGCUCAGGCAAAUGCUACUCAAAAGGUGCAAGGCGUUUCAACUUCAAGCUAGAUAUUAGAUGUUGAGGGUGUGACCCACUCAAGAUCGAUCAAUCUACUCCCACUCAAGUUGUCUAACCUCCGAAGAAAACUUGGUGAAUCCUUGACUGUAAUCAAAC